AAACCAUGAUAAGGACACUGCCUUUGUAAGUUCUUGAAUCUCUCCCAAGCUUCAUAUAAAGACUUGUCAUCCCUUUGAUUAAAAGUAGUGAUCUUAUUUCUCAAUUU